GACGAACGCUGGCGGCGUGCUUAACACAUGCAAGUCGAACGGAAAGGCCCUGCUUUUGUGGGGUGCUCGAGUGGCGAACGGGUGAGUAACACGUGAGUAACCUGCCCUUGACUUUGGGAUAACUUCAGGAAACUGGGGCUAAUACCGGAUAGGAGCUCCUGCUGCAUGGUGGGGGUUGGAAAGUUUCGGUGGUUGGGGAUGGUCUCGCGGCUUAUCAGCUUGUUGGUGGGGUAGUGGCUUACCAAGGCUUUGACGGGUAGCCGGCCUGAGAGGGUGGCCGGCCACAUUGGGACUGAGAUACGGCCCAGACUCCUACGGGAGGCAGCAGUGGGGAAUAUUGCACAAUGGGCGGAAGCCUGAUGCAGCAACGCCGCGUGCGGGAUGACGGCCUUCGGGUUGUAAACCGCUUUCGCCUGUGACGAAGCGUGAGUGACGGUAAUGGGUAAAGAAGCACCGGCUAACUACGUG
rnacentral:rRNA from 1 species